ACUUUCAAACAAACGGAUCUCUUGGCUCUCGCAUCGAUGGGUAACGGUGCGAAAAUGCGUUAAAUAGUGUUAAUUGCAUAAUUUUGUGAUUCAUAGAAACUUUGAUCGCAAAUUUUUCUCCUUGGUUUUCCGGGGAGUGCUCCUGUUUGAGGUC
rnacentral:rRNA from 1 species